CACGGGGGGAGCAAGCGUUGUUCGGAAUCACUGGGCGUAAAGGGCGUGCAGGCGGUCAGGUAAGUGGGAUGUGAAAUGCCCCGGCUCACCCGGGGACCGGCAUCUCAUACUGCUUGGCUUGAGUACGGGAGAGGAUGUGGGAAUUCCUGGUGUAGCGGUGAAAUGCGUAGAUAUCAGGAGGAACACCGGUGGCGAAGGCGGAUCUCUGGGCCUUACCUGACGCUGAGGCGCGAAAGCUAGGGGAGCGAACAGG
rnacentral:rRNA from 1 species